AGCAGUAGCCACGGUAAUACAGAGGGUGCGAGCGUUAAUCGGAUUUACUGGGCGUAAAGCGUGCGUAGGCGGCUUUUUAAGUCGGAUGUGAAAUCCCUGAGCUUAACUUAGGAAUUGCAUUCGAUACUGGGAAGCUAGAGUAUGGGAGAGGAUGGUAGAAUUCCAGGUGUAGCGGUGAAAUGCGUAGAGAUCUGGAGGAAUACCGAUGGCGAAGGCAGCCAUCUGGCCUAAUACUGACGCUGAGGUACGAAAGCAUGGGGAGCAAACAGGAUUAGAUACCCCCGUAGUCCCUGUCUCUUAUAA
rnacentral:rRNA from 1 species